rnacentral:misc_RNA from 1 species
GUGAAUCAUCGAAUCUUUGAACGCAACUUGCGCCUUCUUUCGGGAGGCAUGUCUGUUUGAGUUCACCAUUUAACAAAUAAUGUGCGGGUCGCUCUGCGGCGUGCACACGUUGAUGAGCUUUUCCGCAAAACCAGGUUUUUUUGGUGGCGCAUAAUGAACAGCGUGGGCUUUUUCUUUCGAUUCUCGUGUAGUAAGUAAAUUUUCAACUCUUGGGUUGAGAGAAAGUUCUUUCCUCGCA